AUGACCUUGAAGCCGCUCUCAUCCCUCAUUGGAAUUCCUUCUGAUCUUCCCAGGAUGGCUCUCACAGCUAGGGGCAAAGAUGCUCCAAGAUGCCUCCCAGGCUCGAACCCAGACAUGAGAGCCGCAGGCCAGCCCCAACAAUUGUUUGCAGGAGAAUACCAAGAAAAACACCAUGAAUGUGACAUCAUGGAUUUAGGACUUCCACUGAAGGCAUACCCACGACUAGAAAAUAUAUUGAACCUUUUAUAUUAUAUAUUUGUGGUCAAGUUUUCCUGUCAGUGAGUUCCACACGGU
rnacentral:lncRNA from 1 species